rnacentral:misc_RNA from 1 species
AAAGAUUGUUAAUCAAUUCUUUGUUAUUUUUAUUUUUACAAGGAAAUAUAUGUAUUUAUUUUCAUAUAAUUAUUUAAAAUGGGCCCCCUUAAAUAAAAUUUCUAGCUCCGUUACUAACAAUAUGCACAUUCUAAAAACCACAAAACAAAUUAUAUUUAUUUGCACCUCUUACAUAUGACCAAUAAAAAUUAGCUUCAAACCAUACAAACGAU